rnacentral:rRNA from 1 species
AGUGAACGCUGGCGGUAGGCCUAACACAUGCAAGUCGAACGGCAGCACAGUAAGAGCUUGCUCUUACGGGUGGCGAGUGGCGGACGGGUGAGGAAUACAUCGGAAUCUACUUUUUCGUGGGGGAUAACGUAGGGAAACUUACGCUAAUACCGCAUACGACCUACGGGUGAAAGCAGGGGAUCUUCGGACCUUGCGCGAUUGAAUGAGCUGAUGUCGGAGUAGCUAGUUGGCGGGGUAAAGGCCUACCAAGGCGACGAUCCGUAGCUGGUCUGAGAGGAUGAUCAGCGACACUGGAACUGAGACACGGUCCAGACUCCUACGGGAGGCGGCAGUGGGGAAUAUUGGACAAUGGGCGCAAGCCUGAUCCAGCCAUACCGCGUGGGUGAAGAAGGCCUUCGGGUUGUAAAGCCCUUUUGUUGGGAAAGAAAAGCAGCAGGUUUAUACCCCGCUGUUCUGACGGUACCCAAAGAAUAAGCACCGGCUAACUUCGUG